GGAAAACUUAUUAACCUGCUGAAAAAGCUGAAGACUUCUUUCUCUUUUUUGACUCUUUUUCAGAAGAUUUCUCACUUAUUUAAUUCAGAGGGUCUUGAACCACUGCAGGUGAACCAAACAACCACUCCUCAGUCACACAGACAAAUCUGGAAAUGAUGAAGAUGCAGAUUCUUUGUUUGCUGCUGGUGCUGCUCUUUUCUGCUGUUCUCUCACAAACAUACAAGGACUUCCAAAGGAAACACGUCUGUGAGAAAAUGAAUCCUGUAGACUGCACUAAAGAGAU